UCUUCAAUUUUUAUAUUCGAAAUCUAUAAUUUUUGAUCUGCAUAUGUUUUGAAUAUACUAAUAACAUAUGGAAUUCUAAUUGUUGGAAUUAUGCAGAAUCAUGGAGACCUAAAACUUAGUCUCGACAUUAAUACUUGAACCAAAUAGACUAUACUACUAGGAACAACAUAGGUCUUAUAAUCCUUGCAAGAACCUUGGUAUGUCAUAUAAAAGCGUAAUAAGCAACAAAAAAAAGAUUCUAUUUAAAAAACUUAUUUGCCCAAUGUUGAUACUGUUGCACCAAGAUAUAAAAAAAAAUCAGUUUUCCAGAGUUUUGCGGCAACUUAAACUUCAGCGUUCUACGUUAUUGCACAUGCAGUCUUUUAUGAAAAACUGAAACAAUGUUGAACAAAAGAUUCAUCAACUAACAAGUCUAGUAUAUACUAUUUUUCCCCGAUAUUACUGGCGUCUACUCAGCGGACACUUUUGUUGUUGAUAGUGUGGACUUUGUUGCUAUUUCUUGCAAACCGUCAGGCAUACUUUCUGGCGUUGAAUAAUACUGAAAAAAGGAUAAAAUGUAGCAUUAUGUUAAUAUUAUAGAAUGUUAAUAAUGAAUGUAAGAGACAGUCAUGACAACAAACAAAGCAACUGUCAACCAUAUAUAUAUAUGUAUAUAUAUAUAUAUGCGCACACGCAUGUCUCCAUGAAUGCACUAUCAUUACACAUUCAACUCACAAAAUAUUGCAACGUUGAACCCGUGUUUGUACUGACAACUCUUACCUAGUAUGUAUAUAUUAAGGUUUAACGGUAAA